AUUGCACACUAUUUGAUGUAGUUUUCAAUUUUUUUAACCUCUUUGUUUACCUUAUACCAGAUUGCUUUCACUGGACAGGUGAAGACUUGUGUGUUUUGACUAGCAGCAAUGUUCAGCCCCUUAGCUUGAUGUCCUCUUUCCAGGUAUAAGCUGAGGAGUUUCCAGUGGAUUGAGAAUUACAAAAAAAACAAAAACAUAAAAAGACUUGUCUGAUUUUGGCUUGACAAAAAAAACAACAUA
rnacentral:misc_RNA from 1 species